rnacentral:rRNA from 1 species
CUGGCGGCGUGCUUACACAUGCAAGUCGAACGAACCUUCGGGUUAGUGGCGGACGGGUGAGUAACGCGUGGGAAUCUGCCCUCAGGAGGGGGAUAACGGCCGGAAACGGCCGCUAAUACCCCAUAUGCCGAGAGGUGAAAUGAAUUUCGCCUGAGGAUGAGCCCGCGUCUGAUUAGCUAGUUGGUGAGGUAAGAGCUCACCAAGGCAUCGAUCAGUAGCUGGUCUGAGAGGAUGAUCAGCCACACUGGGACUGAGACACGGCCCAGACUCCUACGGGAGGCAGCAGUGGGGAAUUUUCCGCAAUGGGCGAAAGCCUGACGGAGCAACGCCGCGUGAGGGAUGAAGGCCUCUGGGCUGUAAACCUCUUUUAUCAAGGAAGAAGAUCUGACGGUACUGAUGAAUAAGCCACGG